GAUCCUGGCUCAGAACGAACGCUGGCGGCAUGCCUAACACAUGCAAGUCGAACGAGAUCUUCGGGUCUAGUGGCGCACGGGUGCGUAACGCGUGGGAAUCUGCCCUUUGGUUCGGAAUAACAGUUGGAAACGACUGCUAAUACCGGAUGAUGACGAAAGUCCAAAGAUUUAUCGCCAGAGGAUGAGCCCGCGUAGGAUUAGCUAGUUGGUGUGGUAAAGGCGCACCAAGGCGACGAUCCUUAGCUGGUCUGAGAGGAUGAUCAGCCACACUGGGACUGAGACACGGCCCAGACUCCUACGGGAGGCAGCAGUGGGGAAUAUUGGACAAUGGGCGAAAGCCUGAUCCAGCAAUGCCGCGUGAGUGAUGAAGGCCUUAGGGUUGUAAAGCUCUUUUACCCGGGAUGAUAAUGACAGUACCGGGAGAAUAAGCUCAGGCUAACUCCGUGCCAGCAGCCGCGGUAAUACGGAGGGAGCUAGCGUUGUUCGGAAUUACUGGGCGUAAAGCGCACGUAGGCGGCUUUGUAAGUUAGAGGUGAAAGCCUGGAGCUCAACUCCAGAACUGCCUUUAAGACUGCAUCGCUUGAAUCCAGGAGAGGUG
rnacentral:rRNA from 1 species